CUCAUAUUCUUCUGCCAAUAAUAAAUGACAACUUACUGACAUUUAGAUCUAUGUCAAUACAAACUAUAUUCACACAUUCCGCAAUAAAAAUGCCUUUAAAAUGAUAGUAUAUAAAAAUAAUGUUUAAACAUGGGUCAAUUAGAUGAAUCAAGAUCUGCCUCGAAAAUGGCCAAAAGUAACUCGGCCGUCAAAAAGUCUUCUUCAUCGAAGGGAAAAAAAGGACAAUCGUCAGACUUAAGUUUUUCCGACCCUAAAGUCCAAGGUGUGCUACUGGUUGGACUCCUGGCAGUAUUGGCGCUGGCCCUAUGGUUUGGCUUUACGCGGGGUUGUUUACGUCGACGCCGUAGAAGACGCUCGUCAUGUUGCUAAAUCAUAGUUCUUGCAGUAGCAACCAAGAAGAAAACUGAAAAAAAAGAGAAAUUUGAUUUACACUACAACCACUUCCACCAUCUACAAUACAAUAUGCAACCAAGACAUAGAUAAAAUAUAAUAAUGAAAAUUA